GUUUUAACAAGACUAAAAAAGAGUUAAAAG
rnacentral:other from 1 species